rnacentral:misc_RNA from 1 species
UGCACCACAAACUCCCUCUCCUUGUCCAAAUUCUCCUUCAUUUCCCUCUCUCUCUUCCUCUCUUCUUCAACAACCUCUUCCUCCUCUUCAAAUAGUACCUCCUUUGCUGCAACAUUCACCACGCUGGCCACAUCUCCACUCUUUACUGCCCUCUUCGCUUCUUUCCUUAUCUCUUCCAUUCUUUGCCACUCUUCAACUGCCUCGGCUCUCAUACGCUCUUCACUUGGACCUUCCACUCUUUCCAAAACUCCAUCUUCGUCGUCCCUGUAGCCAUAGUAGCUUGCGUCAAUCCUCUUGUAUAUGUCAUAACGAGUCCUGCGUUUCCG